AUGUGUGUUGAGAAGGUAAUUGGUGGUCUUCCGCAGAGACGCUCAGCUGCAGAUGGGGGAGAUGCAGGUCAUGCCAUUUCCUUACUCUCCACUGGCUKUUGUGCCAAAGGGAAGGUUCGGUCCGGCUGUGAUCAGACAUUGCCCCCUCCCCAGGAUCCAAGGAUCUCCUUCUACAGUGCCCAUACUCUCUUCAUUUCUAUAUUCCAUCUGAUCAUUUUGCAGCAGCUUUCCCUUCUGCAGUGUACCAAAGUGCUUGCCUUCUGGAGAGGGAGCCCCCCAUGGCUUGUUCUCACUCGUCCCAGGGAGGUGCUCCUCCUGCAUGGCUCUUCACUGACGGCUGCAGUUGUAAUUGAGCUGCUGUAA
ensembl:lncRNA